GAGGAUGUGACUCUUUUCUCCAGCUAUCCCCAGGCCACCCACCCUCACUGAGGUCUUGGAUGCAGCCUUGAAAAUGGAUGCAUGUGCCAAAAAGCAUCAAGGAAGAACAGGAUCCUUACUACUGAAUAAAGCAUUAAAUGAGCACUCCAUGUCCAAUUCUGGCAUCCACUCAUUUUAGCACAGAUGGCAACAAGGUGGGAAAAGUUUAGAAAACCAUUAUAAGAAGUCUGAGGAGUGUUUUGCAGUAAGAGACUAAAGAAGUUGUUUCAUUUUCUUCCAGCAGAUUGUUGCAUUGUGAUGUCUUUGCAGUCUGUGUACAUACUGAGGCAGAAGUCAGAGCACUGGAAUGUGAAGGCAGAUGCAUUUGAAUCACAAAUAUGGUUACAUAAAAGUUCAUCAUUAAGGUCCUCCAUUCAAUAUGCUCUGGAGAGAAUUAUCACCCUGACUGGCUUGGGA
rnacentral:lncRNA from 12 species